UGUUUGAUGUUCUAACGUGGACCCGUGAUCCGGGUUGCGGACAGUGUCUGGUGGGUAGUUUGACUGGGGCGGUCUCCUCCUAAAGAGUAACGGAGGAGCACGAAGGUUGGCUAAUCCUGGUCGGACAUCAGGAGGUUAGUGCAAUGGCAUAAGCCAGCUUGACUGCGAGCGUGACGGCGCGAGCAGGUGCGAAAGCAGGUCAUAGUGAUCCGGUGGUUCUGAAUGGAAGGGCCAUCGCUCAACGGAUAAAAGGUACUCCGGGGAUAACAGGCUGAUACCGCCCAAGAGUUCAUAUCGACGGCGGUGUUUGGCACCUCGAUGUCGGCUCAUCACAUCCUGGGGCUGAAGUAGGUCCCAAGGGUAUGGCUGUUCGCCAUUUAAAGUGGUACGCGAGCUGGGUUUAGAACGUCGUGAGACAGUUCGGUCCCUAUCUGCCGUGGGCGCUGGAGAACUGAGGGGGGCUGCUCCUAGUACGAGAGGACCGGAGUGGACGCAUCACUGGUGUUCGGGUUGUCAUGCCAAUGGCACUGCCCGGUAGCUAAAUGCGGAAGAGAUAAGUGCUGAAAGCA
rnacentral:rRNA from 2 species